rnacentral:rRNA from 1 species
GUGGGGAAUAUUGGGCAAUGGGCGAAAGCCUGACCCAGCAACGCCGCGUGAAGGAAGAAGGUCUCCGGAUCGUAAACUUCUAUCCUUGGUGAAGAUAAUGACGGUAGCCGAGAAGGAAGCCCCGGCUAACUACGUGCCAGCAGCCGCGGUAAUACGUAGGGGGCAAGCGUUGUCCGGAAUGAUUGGGCGUAAAGGGCGCGUAGGCGGCCUGGUAAGUCUGGAGUGAAAGUCCUGCUGUUAAGGUGGGAAUUGUUUGGAUACUGUCGGGCUUGAGUGCAGGAGAGGUAAGUGGAAUUCCCGGUGUAGCGGUGAAAUGCGUAGAGAUCGGGAGGAACACCAGUGGCGAAGGCGACUUACUGGACUGUAACUGACGCUGAGGCGCGAAAGUGUGGGGAGCAAACAGGAUUAGAAACCCCAGUAGUCC